rnacentral:rRNA from 1 species
UACAGAGGUCCCAACCGUUGUUCGGAUUCAUUGGGCGUAAAGGGUGCGUAGGUGGCGAGGUUAGUCAGGUGUGAAAUCUCGGGGCUCAACCCCGAAACUGCACUUGAUACUGCCUUGCUAGAGUACUGGAGAGGAGAUUGGAAUUUACGGUGUAGCAGUGAAAUGCGUAGAUAUCGUAAGGAAGACCAGUGGCGAAGGCGAAUCUCUGGACAGUUACUGACACUGAGGCACGAAGGCCAGGGGAGCAAACGGG